rnacentral:rRNA from 1 species
AUACGGAGGAUCCAAGCGUUAUCCGGAAUCAUUGGGUUUAAAGGGUUCGUAGGCGGGUUUAUAAGUCAGUGGUGAAAGUUUGCGGCUCAACCGUAAAAUUGCCAUUGAUACUGUAGAUCUUGAAUUAGUGUGAAGUGAUUAGAAUAAGUAGCGUAGCGGUGAAAUGCAUAGAUAUUACUUAGAAUACCAAUUGCGAAGGCAGGUCACUAACACUAUAUUGACGCUGAGGGACGAAAGCGUGGGGAGCGAACAGGAGUAGAAACCCUAGUAGUCC